AUUGAACGCUGGCGGCAUGCCUUACACAUGCAAGUCGAACGGUAACAGGUCUUCGGAUGCUGACGAGUGGCGAACGGGUGAGUAAUACAUCGGAACGUGCCUAGUAGUGGGGGAUAACUACUCGAAAGAGUGGCUAAUACCGCAUGAGAUCUACGGAUGAAAGCAGGGGAUCGCAAGACCUUGUGCUACUAGAGCGGCCGAUGGCAGAUUAGGUAGUUGGUGGGAUAAAAGCUUACCAAGCCGACGAGCUGUAGCUGGUCUGAGAGGACGAUCCGCCACCCUGAGACUGAGACACGGCCCAGAGUCCUACGGGAGGCAGCAGUGGGGAAUUUUGGACAAUGGGCGCAAGCCUGAUCCAGCAAUGCCGCGUGCAGGAUGAAGGCCUUCGGGUUGUAAACUGCUUUUGUACGGAACGAAAAGCCCCGGGUUAAUACCCUGGGGUCAUGACGGUACCGUAAGAAUAAGCACCGGCUAACUACGUGCCAGCCGCCGCCGUAA
rnacentral:rRNA from 1 species